rnacentral:lncRNA from 1 species
AUGUCUGGUAUAAAAGAAUCAAGAGAAAUAUGUACCAAAAAUGAAAGAAUUCAAGCUUUUGUUGGGCAUGUAUUCAUAGAUCAGCAUUCUCUCCCCUUCCUUAAUGCAGCAUCCUAAAAGCCUCACAAGGUUUCGAUGUUGAAGUUUAGCAAUGUACUGAACCUCAUUUCGAAACUCGUCUAGUCCUUGUUUCGAUUUUCUUGAGUGCCUCUUUACAGCGAUUUCUUUUCCAUCCUCCAAAACUCCCUGUAAAUGAGUGAUUUUGGCACAAUGGAUAUAAGUUGAUACGUGUGUUGAUUGAUUGUUCAUCUUGAAAAAAAUGUGGUGGCCUAACUACUACUAGUCCUAGAGGUGCCCAUUUUUGUGUUUUAUUAAGGAUGGGUCAAACUACUGAAUUUGGGUAAACAAGUCAAGUAAGUCAAGCGGAUUAAAAGUUACCCAAACAUCAAAAACAUACUGCUUAAAAAUUGUAUUCAAAUAUUUAUAUCUGCUAUAGUAAUACUAAUAAUCUUAAAUAGCACAUUCACUCUAUAUGGAAAAGAAAAACUAAAACUGAUCUUAAAUUAAAACGACCAAUUUCAGCCCAACCUGGUUUUUUUUAUUCAAAAGAAAAUCUCGUAUUGGUCAAAUUACAAAUUUUAGCUAGAGGCGAAUGGGCUGAAAGGAGGUUGAAGGUCAUUCAAACAUCAAACGAGAAUGCAUACAAAACAUGGAAAAAAAGAACUUAUUAACUUAUAUAAGUCAUAAGUUAUAAAUACUAACUUCUUAAAAACAAUUUCUCAACACACAAAAACAACUUAAAUAAACUAACCCAAACACUAUAAAAAUAACUUAUUAACUUUUAUAAGUCAAUAAGUUGCUUCAAAAUAAGCUGACCCAAACACCACCUAAAGUA